rnacentral:rRNA from 1 species
CACGGAGGAUGCGAGCGUUAUCCGGAUUUAUUGGGUUUAAAGGGUGCGUAGGCGGUCCGUUAAGUCAGCGGUAAAAUUGCGGGGCUCAACCCCGUCGAGCCGUUGAAACUGGCAGACUUGAGUUGGCGAGAAGUACGCGGAAUGCGCGGUGUAGCGGCGAAAUGCAUAGAUAUCACGCAGAACUCCGAUUGCGAAGGCAGCGUACCGGCGCCCUACUGACGCUGAAGCACGAAGGCGUGGGUAUCGAACAGG